rnacentral:rRNA from 1 species
UCGAGAAUCAUUCACAAUGGGGGAAACCCUGAUGGUGCGACGCCGCGUGGGGGAAUGAAGGUCUUCGGAUUGUAAACCCCUGCCAUGUGGGAGCAAAUUAAAAAGAUAGUACCACAAGAGGAAGAGACGGCUAACUCUGUGCCAGCAGCCGCGGUAAUACAGAGGUCUCAAGCGUUGUUCGGAAUCACUGGGCGUAAAGCGUGCGUAGGCGGUUUCGUAAGUCGUGUGUGAAAGGCGGGGGCUCAACCCCCGGACUGCACAUGAUACUGCGAGACUAGAGUAAUGGAGGGGGAACCGGAAUUCUCGGUGUAGCAGUGAAAUGCGUAGAUAUCGAGAGGAACACUCGUGGCGAAGGCGGGUUCCUGGACAUUAACUGACGCUGAGGCACGAAGGCCAGGGGAGCGAAAGGG